AUGAACGCUGGCGGCGUGCUUAAUACAUGCAAGUCGAACGGAGAGUGUAGCAAUAUACUCUUAGUGGCGAACGGGUGAGUAACGCGUUGGUGACCUGCCCCGAAGCGGGGGAUACCAGUUCGAAAGGACUGCUAAUACCCCAUGUGGUCACGAGGAUUAGAGGCCUUGUGACAAAAGGAGAAAUUCGCUUUGGGAGGGACCUGCGUCCCAUCAGCUAGUUGGUAGGGUAACGGCCUACCAAGGCGAUGACGGGUAGGGGACCUGAGAGGGUGGACCCCCACACUGGCACUGAAACACGGGCCAGACACCUACGGGUGGCAGCAGUAGGGAAUAUUGCAUAAUGGGCGAAAGCCCGAUGCAGCAACGCCGCGUGUGCGAAGAAGGCCUUCGGGUCGUAAAGCACUUUUCGAGAGGAUGAGGAAGGACAGUACUCUCGGAAUAAGCCUCGGCUAACUACGU
rnacentral:rRNA from 1 species